GACGAACGCUGGCGGCGUGCCUAAUACAUGCAAGUCUACGAGAAAGUCAGUUUCGGCUGGCUAGUAAAGUGGCGAACGGGUGAGUAACGCGUAGGCAACCUGCCUUCAGGUUUGGAAUAACUCUGCUAACGCGGAGCUAAUACCGGAAUUGCAAUGUUUUUGCAUGAAAAUAUUGUUAAAGGGGGGGAUUCUUAUGAACCUCUUGCCUGAGGAUGGGCCUGCGUUCCAUUAGCUUGUUGGUGAGGUAACGGCUCACCAAGGCAGCGAUGGAUAGCCGACCUGAGAGGGUGAUCGGCCACACUGGGAUUGAGAUACGGCCCAGACUCCUACGGGAGGCAGCAGUAGGGAAUAUUGCGCAAUGGCCGCAAGGCUGACGCAGCAACGCCGCGUGACUGAUGAAGCUCUAAGGAGUGUAAAGGUCUGUUAGGAGGGACGAAUAGUUCAAAUGUUAAUAAUUUUUGAACCUGACGGUACCUUCAGAGAAAGCUCCGGCCAACUCCGUGCCAGCAGCCGCGGUAAUACGGGGGGAGCAAGCGUUGUCCGGAAUUACUGGGCGUAAAGGGCGCGUAGGCGGAUCUGUAAGUCAGAAGUGAAAUCUGUCGGCUCAACCGGCAAACUGCUUUUGAUACUGCAGGUCUUGAGUAAAACAGAGGAAAGUGGAAUUCCUGGUGUAGCGGUGAAAUGUGUAGAUAUCAGGAAGAACACCGGUAGCGAAGGCGGCUUUCUGGGUUUUUACUGACGCUGAGGCGCGAAAGCGUGGGUAGCAAACAGGAUUAGAUACCCUGGUAGUCCACGCCCUAAACGAUGAACACUAGGUGUUGAAGGCUCGACCCCUUCAGUGCCGAAGCUAACGCAUUAAGUGUUCCGCCUGGGGAGACGAUCGCAAGGUU
rnacentral:rRNA from 1 species